AUGAAACUUGCUUCCAAACUUCUUCAAAAGCCUUACUUGCCUUGGGUUAACUGGUUCUUCCAACACUACUCUCUUGACUUUGCCAACAAAACCCACAACCCCUCCUUUCUCCCGAAAAUUGUGAACGACCAACUUCACCCUCUUCAAAAAAUCUCCUUUGUCCUUACUAACUGCGGCGCUUCCACCUUCUUCUGGCUCGAUGCUUCGCUGCUUCCUACUCCCCUUGCGUGCUACGAAACCCACAUUUUCUCCCACUCCACUUCGUCGUACGUCCUGGUAUCUCAGGUCAUGCAUUUUGGUUUACUGGCUAACCCACGGAAUCGCCUAACCAAUGUUGCUUCUGUCGAGCUUGCUUCCAUUUUAUCUUUGUUGCAGGAUGUUCAUGGCAAUGAUGCGCCCGAUGACAGGUUCCUUACCCAUGGCUCCGCGUUCUCUCGAGGUGCCUACUCGCUGCUCUCCUCCGACCAUGAGUUUCAUCUCAACGUUGGGCACAUCUGGGGCUCCAAGGCUCCCAUCAAGGUCAAGAUCUUCGGUUGGCUUCUUUGGUGUGACAGGCUGAGUACGAAGACCAACUUGCUACGAAAAACUAUCUCCUCUGACUCUUCUUGCCCUCGGUGCGACCAUGCAAGGGAGGACGCGACUCACGUCGCCAUCCUUUGCCCCUGUGCUGCUGCACAUCUUUGGUCCAUUUUGGGCCUCCAGACUCCUAUCUCCAUCAGACACAUUUGGGACACUCCUACGCCGGUUGGCCUCGACGUCAACAUUUGGCCUACCGUCACCCUCGCCAUACUGUGGAAGUUAUGGGACUCUAGGAAUGCUCGUGUUUUUCGUAAUGAGAUUCACUCCCCCCCCCCUUGA
rnacentral:rRNA from 1 species